UGUCUUUUACACAUCAAAUACAUUUUUCAUCCCUUUAUUGCUAUCAAUGGGAGGCGAAAUGAUCGAAAAAGUAAACCAACAAUAGAUAACUAAACCGCACGAAGAAUUCUAUGUGGUGAGAAUGGGAGGCAUGUAAUCUGACUUAGUACCAAGCACACGAGCCUUUGUAUCGGGGAAGAACUCGAACCCUGGCAACUCGCUGAUCAAACCAUCGCUGGUGACUCCGAUCGGGUAGCUGAGUAGAUGUCCUGGAAGAUCAUGCUCUAGAGUAUCGCCCGAGUACAAGUCCAAGUACUGCUCCGAAAUAUUAUUGAUCUUCUGAAUGCACUCCACGCUCUCGGGGUGGAGGAAGGCGUCAUCGAGCAUCCCGAGAUGCUCGUACCAGAGAGACAAUCUGAAGCCGUGAAUCUGUCCCCUGGCCGGUUGACGGUUUGAUAGAUAGUUCGUCUGAUAUGCUCCCAUGGCGAUUUCGGAGUCUCUGGCUCCAUCCAAUGACCUCUGGUUGAUGUUGGCUGAUCCAAUGAUUAUGUACUCAUCGUCCACAAUCAUCAUUUUGGCAUGAACAUAGAUCAUAAACCGCCGGUUCUCCUGAGCCCUGCUAUAGUCAGUACCGGCCUCUGGAUGCUCCUCAGGUUCGUAUUCUCCGCUCUGCUUCACUUCCCGAUUUCCCAAGCAGAAAAAGGUCAAAUAGUCCUUGGGAUUUGCUACAAUUCCCUUGGCUUGGAGAGCCUGAAUGAUAUCAGUAUACAUCAUUUCCAUGGUUCUUCGUUGCCAAUCUAAAAUUGCCUGAACUGAUCCACUUUCUGGCACACCCUCCGGCCACAUAGGAAGAACAACAUAAACAGUAAACCUCUCCCCAGCUUCAAUUUUACUAACAAUCUUUAAGGAGAGCUCUUUGGGGAUCAGAUGCAAUGCUCCAAUAUCCUCAGGUUUGAUGCCUUCUGGUUUCCACGCAAAUGAGCUACCAAGAAAGUAUUGGUUUUCAAUGUAGAUGAAAUUCUUUGCUCUGCGGAUAGCGUUUAUGUAACCAUCUUGAAUACUUCGAUCGAUAAUGUUGUCCUUGCCACUAACAAGCCCAGCUCUUGCAGCAUCUUCCGGUGCAUCCGGGAAGCCAAAUGCAGCACCCCCAUCGAUGGAUCUGAAUAACUGGACAUUCCAUGCUUCUGUGUCCUCUGGGAGCAUAACAGGCGAGGGCGGG
rnacentral:misc_RNA from 1 species